UUGAUCCUGGCUCAGGAUGAACGCUGGCGGCGUGCCUAAUACAUGCAAGUCGAGCGAACGGACGAGAAGCUUGCUUCUCUGAUGUUAGCGGCGGACGGGUGAGUAACACGUGGAUAACCUACCUAUAAGACUGGGAUAACUUCGGGAAACCGGAGCUAAUACCGGAUAAUAUUUUGAACCGCAUGGUUCAAAAGUGAAAGACGGUCUUGCUGUCACUUAUAGAUGGAUCCGCGCUGCAUUAGCUAGUUGGUAAGGUAACGGCUUACCAAGGCAACGAUGCAUAGCCGACCUGAGAGGGUGAUCGGCCACACUGGAACUGAGACACGGUCCAGACUCCUACGGGAGGCAGCAGUAGGGAAUCUUCCGCAAUGGGCGAAAGCCUGACGGAGCAACGCCGCGUGAGUGAUGAAGGUCUUCGGAUCGUAAAACUCUGUUAUUAGGGAAGAACAUAUGUGUAAGUAACUGUGCACAUCUUGACGGUACCUAAUCAGAAAGCCACGGCUAACUACGUGCCAGCAGCCGCGGUAAUACGUAGGUGGCAAGCGUUAUCCGGAAUUAUUGGGCGUAAAGCGCGCGUAGGCGGUUUUUUAAGUCUGAUGUGAAAGCCCACGGCUCAACCGUGGAGGGUCAUUGGAAACUGGAAAACUUGAGUGCAGAAGAGGAAAGUGGAAUUCCAUGUGUAGCGGUGAAAUGCGCAGAGAUAUGGAGGAACACCAGUGGCGAAGGCGACUUUCUGGUCUGUAACUGACGCUGAUGUGCGAAAGCGUGGGGAUCAAACAGGAUUAGAUACCCUGGUAGUCCACGCCGUAAACGAUGAGUGCUAAGUGUUAGGGGGUUUCCGCCCCUUAGUGCUGCAGCUAACGCAUUAAGCACUCCGCCUGGGGAGUACGACCGCAAGGUUGAAACUCAAAGGAAUUGACGGGGACCCGCACAAGCGGUGGAGCAUGUGGUUUAAUUCGAAGCAACGCGAAGAACCUUACCAAAUCUUGACAUCCUU
rnacentral:rRNA from 1 species